GCUCCACUGGCCAAAUGGUAAGGCGUCCGCCUCCUAAGCGGAAGACUGCGGGUUCGAGUCCCGUGUGGAGUG
rfam:Yarrowia lipolytica CLIB122 chromosome E complete sequence